AUUGAGGCGGUGGUUUGUAAUUCCACUUAUGGGGUGGCAAACUCCUCUUAUCA
rnacentral:tRNA from 1 species